rnacentral:rRNA from 1 species
UACGUAGGUGGCAAGCGUUGUCCGGAAUUAUUGGGCGUAAAGCGCGCGCAGGCGGUUCUUUAAGUCUGAUGUGAAAGCCCACGGCUCAACCGUGGAGGGUCAUUGGAAACUGGAGAACUUGAGUACAGAAGAGGAAAGCGGAAUUCCACGUGUAGCGGUGAAAUGCGUAGAGAUGUGGAGGAACACCAGUGGCGAAGGCGGCUCUCUGGGACGGUACUGACGCUGAGACGCGAAAAGCGUGGGGGAGCGAACAGG